ACAACCUGGGGAAACCCGGACUAAUACCGCAUAAUGUCUUUUUCUCGCAUGGGAGGAAGACCAGAGGGAGCCUCUGCUUGCAAGCUCUCACCUGAUGAGGGGGUCGCGGCGUAUCAGCUUGUUGGUGAGGUAAUGGCUCACCAAGGCUACGACGCGUAGCGGGUCUGAGAGGACGAUCCGUCACAUUGGGACUGAGAUACGGCCCAG
rnacentral:rRNA from 1 species